UUCGAAGAAGCGCAGUCAGUCAUCGGUCGGAGCUCAGAGCUGAUCUGCUGGACUGAACAUACUUUCAGUUCAUAAAGAAUGAAAAGACUGCUGACAAACUGCUGCUGGAAAUGCCUGCAGUUCCUGGACACUGUCUGAUGGAUGUGGCUGACUGGCUGCUCUUGUUGUCUAAACUGAAGGGUGACGGAGCUGCGAGGAGGUCGACGAAGGACGAUCUAUAGAACCACAGUAUGUGAGCAUCACUCUGAACUCCAGUUAAUCCAGUAUGGAUGGUCACAGUGUUUCCCUCCAGCUCCUGCAGUCUGACAACCUCUUCUCCAGCUGAGCACAGCAGACCUGGAACAGUUGUGAGUUCAGCCGUCUGACAUAUGAAGGAGGGCAGUAAUCAGUUGCAUUUAAUCCUCCAGCACAACUCAGAAAAAAUAUUAAAGCUUCUUCAGCUGUUCAACUGUUUAAUUCCUUUUUUUUUAACUGCUGUCAGAUAUUCUACUUCUCCACUUUGUGGUCUGGCUGUUGUCAUCAGCUUCAGGGAAGCACCACAAACAACACAACAGACUCAGCAAGUGAAAAAAGCAGAAAUAAACAGCUGAAUAGAGGUUCUCAGGUUCUCAGAUAAAGUGUCAUGUUGUCAGAGGAUCGUUCGACUUAAGAGAAGUCCUGAACAACACACCAAUGUGUGCUACAACUGUCUAUUGCAUGUUUAUUGUAAAAGGGUCAAAAUGAUAAUAAUGAUAUAUUUUGAAAUAAAAGCGUUUUGAAAAAGG